rnacentral:rRNA from 1 species
AGCGAACGCUGGCGGCAGGCUUAACACAUGCAAGUCGAGCGGGCAUCCUUGUGGUGUCAGCGGCAGACGGGUGAGUAACGCGUGGGAACGUGCCCUUCGGUUCGGAAUAACUCAGGGAAACUUGAGCUAAUACCGGGUACGUGCGAGAGCAGAAAGGUUUAUCUGCCGAAGGAUCGGCCCGCGUCUGAUUAGCUAGUUGGUGAGGUUACGGCUCACCAGGGCGACGAUCAGUAGCUGGUCUGAGAGGAUGAUCAGCCACACUGGGACUGAGACACGGCCCAGACUCCUACGGGAGGCAGCAGUGGGGAAUAUUGGACAAUGGGGGCAACCCUGAUCCAGCCAUGCCGCGUGAGUGAUGACGGCCUUAGGGUUGUAAAGCUCUUUUCUCCGGGACGAUAAUGACGGUACCGGAGGAAUAAGCCCCGGCUAACUUCGUG